rnacentral:lncRNA from 1 species
UCAUGCUGGUUUGGGCAUUAACUGCCAUUUGCAUUUCGAUAUAGCUUGUGACCUAUGCGGUGUAUAAAGAAACCUUGCAAAAGAUUACACGUUGGAUUGUU